GGUUGUAGCUCAAUGGUAGAGUGCUUGACUAGCAAGCAUAGGCACUGGGUUUGAUCCUCAGCACCA
rnacentral:tRNA from 1 species